rnacentral:rRNA from 1 species
AGCGAACGCUGGCGGCAGGCCUAACACAUGCAAGUCGAACGAAGUCUUCGGACUUAGUGGCGGACGGGUGAGUAACACGUGGGAACGUGCCUUUAGGUUCGGAAUAACUCAGGGAAACUUGUGCUAAUACCGAAUGUGCCCUUCGGGGGAAAGAUUUAUCGCCUUUAGAGCGGCCCGCGUCUGAUUAGCUAGUUGGUGAGGUAAAGGCUCACCAAGGCGACGAUCAGUAGCUGGUCUGAGAGGAUGAUCAGCCACAUUGGGACUUAGACACGGCCCAAACUCCGACGGGUGGCAGCAGUGGGGAAUCUUGCGCAAUGGGCGAAAGCCUGACGCAGCCAUGCCGCGUGAAUGAUGAAGGUCUUAGGAGUGUAAAAUUCUUUCACCGGGGACGUUAAUGACGGUACCCGGAGAAGAAGCCCCGGCUAACUUCGUGCCAGCAGCCGCCGUAAAUC